rnacentral:rRNA from 1 species
AUUGAACGCUGGCGGCAGGCUUAACACAUGCAAGUCGAGCGGAGCGAGGGUGCUUGCACCUUAGCUUGGCGGCGGACGGGUGAGUAAUGCUUAGGAAUCUGCCUAUUAGUGGGGGACAACAUUCCGAAAGGAAUGCUAAUACCGCAUACGCCCUACGGGGGAAAGCAGGGGAUCUUCGGACCUUGCGCUAAUAGAUGAGCCUAAGUCGGAUUAGCUAGUUGGUGGGGUAAAGGCCUACCAAGGCGACGAUCUGUAGCGGGUCUGAGAGGAUGAUCCGCCACACGGGGACUGAGACACGGCCCAGACUCCUACGGGAGGCAGCAGUGGGGAAUAUUGGACAAUGGGCGGAAGCCUGAUCCAGCCAUGCCGCGUGUGUGAAGAAGGCCUUUUGGUUGUAAAGCACUUUAAGCGAGGAGGAGGCUACUUAGAUUAAUACUCUGGGAUAGUGGACGUUACUCGCAGAAUAAGCACCGGCUAACUCUGUGCCAGCCGCCGCAGUAA